rnacentral:rRNA from 1 species
CCGAGUUGUAAUUUGCAGAGGGAGUCUCGGAGGGCGCGCCGGUCCAAGUGCCUUGGAACAGGAUACCGCACAGGGUGAGAGUCCCGUAUCCGGCCGGGGUUGCGCUCCGUGUGAGGCCCCUUCGACGAGUCGAGUUGUUUGGGAAUGCAGCUCUAAGCGGGUGGUAAAUUCCAUCUAAAGCUAAAUACUGGCCAGAGACCGAUAGCGCACAAGUAGAGUGAUCGAAAGAUGAAAAGCACUUUGAAAAGAGAGUUAAACAGUACGUGAAAUUGUUGAAGGGGAAGCGCAUGGGGGCAGACUUGGACGCGGGGUUCAGGGUUUCUUUUGGAGCCUGUACUUCCCCGCGGACAGGCCAGCAUCGGUUCUGGGGGCCGGACAAAGGCGAGGGGAACGUGGCUCUCUUCGGGGAGUGUUAUAGCCCGGCGCGCAAUGCGGCCACCUGGGACCGAGGACCGCGCUUCGGCAAGGAUGCUGGCGUAAUGGCCUCAUGCGGCCCGUCUUGAAACACGGACCAAGGAGUCUAACAUCUAUGCGAGUGUUUGGGUGGCAAGCCCGGACGCGCAAUGA